rnacentral:rRNA from 1 species
UGGGGUUGCGGACAUAUCAUAACGAAGAGGUAUCGUAAUUGAAGAGGUUUGGAAAGACCCACCACAGAAGGUAAUAGUCCUGUAUGUUAAACGAGAAGACUUCAGAUAUGAUCCAGAGUACCACGGGACACGUGAAACCCUGUGGGAAGCAGGAGGGACCACCCUCCAAGGCUAAAUACUACCUAGUGACCGAUAGCGUAUAGUACCGUGAGGGAAAGGUGAAAAGAACCCCGGGAGGGGAGUGAAAUAGAACCUGAAACCCUGCACUUACAAGCUGUGGAAGCACAUUUCUUGUGUGACCGCGUACUUUUUGUAGAACGGGCCAACGAGUUACGUUAAGUAGCAAGGUUAAGCACUUAAGGUGCGGAGCCGUAGCGAAAGCGAGUUUUAACUGAGCGUUCAGUUACUUGACGUAGACCCGAAACCGGGCGACCUACCCAUGAGCAGGAUGAAGCGAAAGUAAAAUUUCGUGGAGGUCCGAACCCACGAGCGUUGAAAAGCUCGGGGAUGACUUGUGGGUAGCGGUGAAAUUCCAAUCGAGCCCGGAGAUAGCUGGUUCUCCCCGAAAUAGCUUUAGGGCUAGCCUCAAGGUGAGAGAUACGGAGGUAGAGCACUGAAUGUCCUAGGGGGUAUUGCACCUACCGAAGACUAUCAAACUCCGAAUGCCGUCAUCUUAUACUUGGGAGUCAGACUGUGGGUGAUAAGAUUCAUAGUCGAAAGGGCAACAGCCCAGAUCGUCAGCUAAGGUCCCUAAAUGUAAGUUAAGUGGUAAAGGAUGUGGGAUUGCACAGACAACCAGGAUGUUGGCUUAGAAGCAGCCACUCAUUCAAAGAGUGCGUAAUAGCUCACUGGUCGAGUGAUCCUGCGCCGAAGAUUUCCGGGGCUAAAACUUACUACCGAAGCUACGGCAUCAGUAAUGAUGGGUAGGGGAGCUUCCCAUACGGGUUGAAGCAUGACCGUAAGGACAUGUGGACAGUAUGGGAGUGAGAAUGUUGGCAUGAGUAGCGAGAUGUGGGUGAGAAUCCCACAGGCCGUAAACCCAAGGUUUCCAGGGGAAGGUUCGUCCGCCCUGGGUUAGUCGGGACCUAAGCUGAGGCCGAAAGGCGUAGGUGAUGGACAACAGGUUGAUAUUCCUGUACUACCGAUAACCAUUUGAGAGAAGGGAUGACACAGUAGGAUAAGCUAAGCACACUGUUGGUUAUGUGUGCCCAAGCAUUGAGGCAGUCAAAGUAGGCAAAUCCGCUUUGAUAAUGCUGGGAUGUGAUGGGGAGCGAAAUUUAGUAGCGAAGUAGCUGAUUUCACACUGUCAAGAAAAGUCUCUAUCGAGGUUAAAGGUACCCGUACCGCAAACCGACACAGGUGGGUGAGGAGAGUAUCCUAAGGCCAGCGAGAGAACUGUUGUUAAGGAACUCGGCAAAAUGACCC